GUCUACAGCCACACCACCCUGAACAUACCCAAUCUCAUCUGAUCUUGGAAGCUACACAGGGUUGGGUCUGGCUAGUACUUAGAUGGGAGAAUCCUAGGGAGAAGCUAGAAUUCACAAUAAAUG
rnacentral:rRNA from 1 species